rnacentral:rRNA from 1 species
UGCUGGAGGUAUCAGAAGUGCGAAUGCUGACAUAAGUAACGAUAAAGCGGGUGAAAAGCCCGCUCGCCGGAAGACCAAGGGUUCCUGUCCAACGUUAAUCGGGGCAGGGUGAGUCGACCCCUAAGGCGAGGCCGAAAGGCGUAGUCGAUGGGAAACGGGUUAAUAUUCCCGUACUUGGUGUUACUGCGAAGGGGGGACGGAGAAGGCUAUGUUGGCCGGGCGACGGUUGUCCCGGUUUAAGCGUGUAGGUGUGUGUUCCAGGUAAAUCCGGUUCACUUUAACACUGAGGCGUGAUGACGAGGCACUACGGUGCUGAAGCAACAAAUGCCCUGCUUCCAGGAAAAGCCUCUAAGCAUCAGGUAACAUCAAAUCGUACCCCAAACCGACACAGGUGGUCAGGUAGAGAAUACCAAGGCGCUUGAGAGAACUCGGGUGAAGGAACUAGGCAAAAUGGUGCCGUAACUUCGGGAGAAGGCACGCUGACAUGUAGGUGAAGUGAUUUACUCAUGGAGCUGAAGUCAGUCGAAGAUACCAGCUGGCUGCAACUGUUUAUUAAAAACACAGCACUGUGCAAACACGAAAGUGGACGUAUACGGUGUGACGCCUGCCCGGUGCCGGAAGGUUAAUUGAUGGGGUCAGCGCAAGCGAAGCUCCUGAUCGAAGCCCCGGUAAACGGCGGCCGUAACUAUAACGGUCCUAAGGUAGCGAAAUUCCUUGUCGGGUAAGUUCCGACCUGCACGAAUGGCGUAAUGAUGGCCAGGCUGUCUCCACCCGAGACUCAGUGAAAUUGAACUCGCUGUGAAGAUGCAGUGUACCCGCGGCAAGACGGAAAGACCCCGUGAACCUUUACUAUAGCUUGACACUGAACAUUGAGCCUUGAUGUGUAGGAUAGGUGGGAGGCUUUGAAGUGUGGACGCCAGUCUGCAUGGAGCCGACCUUGAAAUACCACCCUUUAAUGUUUGAUGUUCUAACGUGGACCCGUGAUCCGGGUUGCGGACAGUGUCUGGUGGGUAGUUUGACUGGGGCGGUCUCCUCCUAAAGAGUAACGGAGGAGCACGAAGGUUGGCUAAUCCUGGUCGGACAUCAGGAGGUUAGUGCAAUGGCAUAAGCCAGCUUGACUGCGAGCGUGACGGCGCGAGCAGGUGCGAAAGCAGGUCAUAGUGAUCCGGUGGUUCUGAAUGGAAGGGCCAUCGCUCAACGGAUAAAAGGUACUCCGGGGAUAACAGGCUGAU